GAGCCUGCACCGAGUUGGAUUUGAUACGAUUUCGUUUCGCUUUCAUCACCACUAACCAACAAAGUAGUGCAAUAUGAACCUUCUUUAACCAUUAAAGAAGAAAGGUAUGGAAUUCUCAUUAAUUUGCAACUUACUAUCGUCUCCAAUUAAUCGAUCAGGCUUAAGACCCCACAACAUCUAUUCCCCCCAUCAUGCCCGUCGGGACACGAUGCCUUCACACCUAAAACUAAGCUUCAAGGCCAAACCUGGUGCUCUUGUUCAGCUGCUACAACCCACGUCGCUUAUCCAAUCACAGACAUUAGAUGAAGACCAUAAUACUCUCAUGGCUUCUCCUUGUCCUAUUAAUCCAACCCCGCUGGUGCUCAGCCAUCAAAAUAACUCUUUCAAAAGAGAGUGGACUUCAUCAACUGGGACAACAACCGCAAGGCCAACGGCUUCAAGAGGUAUUUGUACGCCCGAAUAAGAUCACCGAGUUGAGCAAAGUCAGGAGAGGGAGAGAGUGUGAAGAGUUGGGCGCUCAGAGGAAGGUGAGCCACAAAGGAGAGGGUGGUCCAGCUGGUGCAGGAGGAGGUGAAGCCAGAAAAGUUCCUGGCGGUGCAAAUUCUGAUUAUCAUGAGACAAAACGUGGACAUCGCAGUGCUGCACCGCAGAUGCAAGUGCUAUAUACUUCCCACCUAUCCACCAUCCCUAGUAUUUGGUUGAUCCUUGUACUUCUUUUCUAUUAAUUUCUCGGGGUUUACAAACGUUUAUCAUCGAAAUUGUAGUGUUCUGAAUUGCAAUCUAUGAUGAUGACUGCACUUAGAUUGCAAUCUAUAAUGAUGAUUAUCUUAUGUAUCUUUGAUUUUCAGUAA